rnacentral:rRNA from 1 species
AGAAUCAACGCUGGCGGCGUGCCUAACACAUGCAAGUCGAACGCGAAAGUCCCGCAAGGGACAAGUAGAGUGGCAAACGGGUGAGUAACGCGUGGGCGACCUACCUCUGAGUGGGGGAUAACCUUCCGAAAAGGAGGGCUAAUACCGCAUGACAUCCCGUGUUUGGAUACACGGACAUCAAAGCCGGGGAUCGCAAGACCUGGCGCUUGAUGAGGGGCCCGCGUCUGAUUAGCUAGUUGGUGGGUAACGGCUCACCAAGGCAACGAUCAGUA